CUUUACAACUUAUUAUUCCCUACAUCCUUAUUUCCUACCUACUACAUCAAGAAAACAAACCAAACUUCCUACCUACUAUAUCAAGAAAAGAAAAGGAAAGGCAUGCGUGUGGGAACAAAAUCAGCCAUUUUAGUAGACUACUCAAGUAUAGCCAUUAAUGCACUCCUUCAAAUAAACAUAUCAGCAACAACUCUCUUCCAUUUCACUUCUCAUUUCCCCUCCAUUCUGCACUAAUAACCCACGUGAAGGAGGAACUCCAUUCAUUGCUCUUCUGCCAAACUUUAGAGUGUAUCUAUCAACUGAUUCAAUCACACAGCAGCCACCCAAACACAAGGAUCCACAGGUCAAGCACGAGAUUAAUAAUCAGACAAGGAGCUACUGUACCACAGAAAGUUUCUAUCAGGUUGAGUAGCUGCCGAUGGUGAUGAAGUGACGAGCGGGACUCUUUUGUCUUAUUAUGUAUUAAUGAACUCUAGGGAUACAUGUCUUCAUACAUGUAAUCAGAACCUUAUUCCGCUGCGUAUUCAGAAGUUUUAUGUUAUUUUGGCUAAGUCGGAGUUAUCCGAACUUACUAGUUAUUUGAGUCUAUACGACUAAACCUCCGUUAUAUUAUAA